CCCUUAGAUGUUCUGGGCCGCACGCGCGCUACACUGACGAAUGCAACGAGCUUAUAACCUUGGCCGAAAGGUCUGGGUAAUCUCCAAAUUUCGUCGUGAUGGGGAUAGAUUAUUGCAAUUAUUAAUCUUCAACGAGGAAUGCCUAGUAAGCGCAAGUCAUCAGCUUGCGUUGAUUACGUCCCUGCCCUUUGUACACUCCGCCCGUCGCUCCUACCGAUUGAAUGGUCCGGUGAAGCGUUCGGACCGUGGCCUUUGGACGGUUCGCCGUCUGUUGGCUGCGGGAAGUUCGUUAAACCUUAUCAUUUAGAGGAAGGAGAAGUCGUAACA
rnacentral:rRNA from 1 species